rnacentral:lncRNA from 1 species
GAGCGCGAAAGGCAACACCACAUUCAUGAACGGCGAACAAGUCCCGGAGUCCAGCCGACGAUGGGGAAAAGGCCAGCCAAACAACAGCGGAGGGACGCAGAUUUGCGUGGAGAUGAUCGAGUCGCUGGCGCACCUGUGGAACGACUACGACUGCGAGAACAGGGCCGCCUACGCGUGCCAGCAGUCGACCGGCGCGCCGCAGUCCUCCAGUGGCCCGACAUGAGCGGCCUAGUUCCGCACUCUAUGCAGCACUCCUUCAGCGACCCCAUCCCCUAUAAAGUGCAUAUUUGGCAACUCUCUCA